rnacentral:rRNA from 1 species
UUCGGUGGCCAUAGCGGAGGUGUUCACCUGUAACCAUUCCGAACACAGAAGUUAAGCCCUCCAGCGCCGAUGGUACUGCAGGGGUAACCCUGUGGGAGAGUAGGUCGCCGCCGAAU